UGUGUCUAUUUGCUCACUUCCUGUCCCCCCACCAGAGUAAACCCCUUCGUUGCAGCAGAGACGGUCAUGUUCACCCCUGUAUGCGCGAUGCUGAUUGUCGUCCCAGCACUGUCCUAGGUCCUGGGGAAACAGCAGGGGACAACAAAGACUAAGGGGACAACAAAGCUCCUGAUCUCAUGGAGCUUUGAUUCAAGUUUUGGGGCCACAGGAGGAUAAAGAGGGACAGGGACUUUGGGGAUACAGAGAAUACCCCAACAAGAUUGAUG